UCUAAUAGAGAAGUUUCUAUAGUUCUAAUAGAGAUAUGUUUCUAUAGUUCCAAUAGAGAUAUGUUUCUAUAGUUCUAAUAGAGAUAUGUUUCUAUAGCUCUAAUAGAGAUAUGUUUCUAUAGUUCUAAUAGAGAUAUGUUUCUAUAGCUCUAAUAGAGAUGUUAUGUUUCUAUAGUUCUAAUAGAGAUGUUAUGUUUUUAUAGUUCUAAGAGAUAUUAUGUUUCUAUAGUUCUAAUAGAGAUGUUAUGUUUCUAUAGUUCUAAUAGAGAUGUUAUGUUUCUAUAGUUCUAAUAGAGAUAUAUUUCUAUAGCUCUAAUAGAGAUAUGUUUCUAUAGCUCUAAUAGAGAUGUUUCUAUAGUUCUAAUAGAGAAGUUAUGUUUCUAUAGUUCUAAUAGAG
ensembl:lncRNA